rnacentral:pre_miRNA from 1 species
AUUAUACUCCCUCCGUCAGAAAAUACUUGUCAUCAAAAUGGACAAAAAGGGAUGUAUCUAAAACUAAAAUACAUCUAGAUACAUCCCUUUUAUCCAUUUUGAUGACAAGUAUUUCCGGAUGGAGGGAGUACAUA